UGGUGAAAUUUGUAGAUUGGA
rnacentral:miRNA from 1 species